GGCAGCGUGGCCGAGUGGUCUAAGGCGUUGGUUUUAGGCACCAUUGAUUUCGAUGACAUGCGUUCGAAUCCCAACGCUGCCA